rnacentral:rRNA from 1 species
CUUACUGUAAUUAAUUUGUUGUAAGUAACACCUGCUCAAUGAAAAAACUUAAAUAGCCGCGGAAAUAUAACCGUGCUAAGGUAGCAUAAUCAUUAGCCUCUUAAUUAGAGGCUCGUAUGAACGGUGAAACAUUUCAAUUUCUUUUUUAUUUACUUUAUUCAAAUUUAAAUUAAGAAUAAAAAUGUUCUUAUUUUUAAAAUAGACGAUAAGACCCUUUUGAACUUAACUUGAGUUAGGCUGGGGCAGCCAAUUAAUAAUUAUCUUACUUUUAUAUAAUUAAAUUAAUGACCCAAUAAAAUUGAUUUAAUGAACAAGUUACCAUAGGGAUAACAGCGUAAUACCUUUUUAAAGCUCUUAUUAAAAAAGAAGAUUGCGACCUCGAUGUUGAAUUAGUGUUACUUUACUGAUGCAGUAAUUAUAAAAGUGGGUCUGUUCGACCUUUAAAACAUUACAUGAU